rnacentral:tRNA from 1 species
GCCCUGGUAGCACAAUGGUUAAGCACUCAGUUUCUAACAGAAAGGUUGGUGGUUCAAACCCACUCAGUGGCU